AUGCAAGAAAGAAGGAAAUAUUUGAGGUCUGACAGAAUGGCAUGGUGGCAGUGGGAUAAGGCACAGAGCUGCAGUGGGGGGCGGGCAGAGCUUUCAUUCUCUUGUUCACAAUUUGUAUCAUUUCAGUCCUUAUGCCUCCAGCAGAGACUCAAAGCAGCCACCCCUGGGCCUGCAGUGAGCCCUGUGUUCUCUCCCUGCAGGUCCCUGGACAGAAAGUUGCAGAGGCCACUCCUGGGGAAGUCCCGGACGCUGCCCAGCAUCCCGCAGUCCCCAGUGCUGAGCAGGAUUCCCCUCCUCGACUCUGCAGCGUUCCGGGAGGCGAUGCCGGAGCAGAAGCCCUACCAGAAGCACUCAGCCCCUGAUGGCCAGAAGGGCUGCACGGUCCCAUCAGCUGGGGACGCCUGGCGGCUGGAGGACGAUGGCAUGGACCCCCCCGGCGACGCCCCGCUGCAGCCGCAGCUCCGCACGGCGGUGGAGGACGCCCCGUUCAGCCACUUUCGGAUGCGCUCCUUCUACAUGCGGAAGAGCCUCUCUGUUGACAACCACUUGGGCUCGCUGGGCUACGCCGUGCAUCCCGCUGAGACCAAGGCUGAGCGUGUCCGGACCCGGCUGCGGCGGCAGUUUGUGAGUACUUGGGGUGAUGCAACCCACUCACGUGGCUUUGCAAAACACUGGCAUGGCAGAGGGUUGGCUGUAUGCGUGUACGACAAAACAAAAGACACGUCUCUCUCCAUCCUGAUGCUGCUCAUUUUGCCCACACCUGCUAUGCUGGGCAGGUUCUGUGGCUCCCAGUCACAGCAUUGCCAUUGGGUUGGGUUGCUGCUGCUCACCAGGCAGUGCACCUCUGGUCAGAACAAAAAGGGGCUCAAGGCAAAAAGGGGUGGGCACUGCUCUGCCUCAAACACGCAGCAUUUGGGCCUUUCCAAGGGGUCAGGGCUGCAGGGUUGCAGGGAGCAGCCCCCAGCCCCUGGGGCAGCCGUCCUCCCACUGCUCUGUGGGUGCUGUGCGCUCCCCACUCAAUGUUUAAUGGGCUCUGCAUCUUCCCUUUCCCACAGACACCUGAUACAGGGCUUUGUGUGGCCUCCCUCCCACCUCGUUACUGGCUUGGGGUUGUAAUGAGGGCUUGGGUGUCCUCACACUGAAAGGCACCCGGCGUUGGUUGGAAACAGAUGAGGGCUUUGCUACAAUGGGAGCAGAGCAGGCGCUGUGCGCCCGUGUAACCUGAAGUGCUGUGCUGUCAGGCGA
ensembl:lncRNA